UGGAAAGCGAGAGAAGAGAAAUGGUGCCAGCGGAAGGGGGCCUGGAAUGCCAGUUCAAGCGUUCUCAUGAGACACUUUGGUGUGUGUUGUGAGUAAACAGCAGCUGCUCGGAGCCCUCCCACGUGACCCACAGCCCUGGCUGCCUAUCCUGCUGUGUCUCAGGUAGUGGUGGUCCCUGAGUCUUGCUGGCCUUCGUUUGGGGAGGAAGGUGGAGUGAGUGGAGCUCAACCCAAAGAACUGUUCUGCAGUCGUGGAUGACCAGAGCUGGAUCUGCUGCUUGAUAGGAUGACAGGAGAGAAGCUGAAG